rnacentral:misc_RNA from 1 species
AGGCUAGCUGAGCUUCUGAAAGAAUUUGGCAGGGCUCGUAACAAAAAUGCAAAAUCACUGGAAAAUCUCAUAGAUAACAACUUGAAGAGGACCAAGAAAGAGCCAACAAAGUGGUGGCCUGGCCUAGGUUUUAGAAUUUGAGCAUGUAUUAAUUUCCCAUAUUUGUCUACACGUGCACAUUCUGUAACAUAUAAGAUCAUGUAUAGUGUCAAUGUU